rnacentral:piRNA from 1 species
UUCUUAUAUUGCAUUAUAGAAAAGAUAAGA